rnacentral:rRNA from 1 species
GAUGAACGCUGGCGGCGUGCCUAAUACAUGCAAGUCGAGCGAACAGACGAGGAGCUUGCUCCUCUGACGUUAGCGGCGGACGGGUGAGUAACACGUGGAUAACCUACCUAUAAGACUGGGAUAACUUCGGGAAACCGGAGCUAAUACCGGAUAAUAUAUUGAACCGCAUGGUUCAAUAGUGAAAGACGGUUUUGCUGUCACUUAUAGAUGGAUCCGCGCCGCAUUAGCUAGUUGGUAAGGUAACGGCUUACCAAGGCAACGAUGCGUAGCCGACCUGAGAGGGUGAUCGGCCACACUGGAACUGAGACACGGUCCAGACUCCUACGGGAGGCAGCAGUAGGGAAUCUUCCGCAAGGGGCGAAAGCCUAACGGAGCAACGCCGCGUGAGUGAUGAAGGUCUUCGGAUCGUAAAACUCUGUUAUUAGGGAAGAACAAAUGUGUAAGUAACUAUGCACGUCUUGACGGUACCUAAUCAGAAAGCCACGGCUAACUACGUG